rnacentral:rRNA from 1 species
AUACGGAGGAUGCGAGCGUUAUCCGGAUUUAUUGGGUUUAAAGGGCGCGUAGGCGGCGCGGUAAGUCUGGAGUGAAAGUCCUGCUUUCAAGGUGGGAAUUGCUUUGGAUACUGCCGCGCUUGAGUGCAGGAGAGGUUAUCGGAAUUCCCGGUGUAGCGGUGAAAUGCGUAGAGAUCGGGAGGAACACCAGUGGCGAAGGCGGGUAACUGGACUGCAACUGACGCUGAGGCGCGAAAGUGUGGGGAGCAAACAGGAUUAGAUACCCUGGUAGUCCACACUGUAAACGAUGGAUGCUAGGUGUAAGAGGUAUCGACUCCCUCUGUGCCGCAGUUAACACAAUAAGUAUUCCGCCUGGGGAGUACGGCCGCAAGGUUGAAACUCAAAUGAAUUGACGGGG